rnacentral:rRNA from 1 species
AGGACGAACGCUGGCGGCGUGCUUAACACAUGCAAGUCGAGCGGUAAGGCCCUUUCGGGGGUACACGAGCGGCGAACGGGUGAGUAACACGUGAGUAAUCUGCCCUCCACUUGGGGAUAAGCUUCGGAAACGGGGUCUAAUACCUGAUACGACAACUACCUGCAUGGGUUGGUUGUGGAAAGUUUUUUCGGUGGGGGAUGUGCUCGCGGCCUAUCAGCUUGUUGGUGGGGUAAUGGCCUACCAAGGCUUCGGACGGGUAGCCGGCCUGA